UUUAGGGUCGCUAUUAAUAAUUAUUCACGAUGAAUUUGAUAAAAAAAGAAAAGAAAGAAGCACACUAGCUUCCAAACUUUUGUUGGAAAACAGUGUUUAUUGGUCAUCCUUAAUACGACGUAACUACAAAGGAUUAGUUUUGAUAAAGAACUUUUACAUUUGGUGAUUUGGCCUUUCCAAAAUUCAUAGAAAGCCUUUUAUUUAUAUUUUCCUUAUAGAAAAAAGUAAUUAUUUACGCAUAGUGUACAUUAGGUCCUUAUAUAUACACUGCUCCAUUUGUCUUGUUAAAAAAAAAAACUCGAACUAGGGCACACUUUUGAACAUUUGGUCCUUUAUAUACACUUUAUUCAUUGGCCCUUAAUUGGCGUUGGUAUGUGUUCCUCGCCACAAUGCUGCUCGAACUCCAGGCCUUUCAAGCCGUCGCCGUGGUAGUGGUCGUGGUCUCAAGCCGUCGCUCUCGCACAACAACUCUCGCAUCAACAAUGUUUGAUGGUCAUGUGCAGAUUUUACGUUGAAUGUGAAGAAUGAACUGGGUGAUGCUCUGAAGGUGUUUGAUGAAAUGUCUAAGUUAGAUGUUAUUCAGUAUCGUGUUCUUAUCAAAUGGGUCACUUCGAUUUGGUUUGGCGGCGUGUUUUUGCUGUUUCUCUCUCUCUCACACACCCACAUUGCAACAGACUAGUUCUUGAGAGAGAAACAUCAAAAAGGUUAUGUAAGUGGUCUUCCUAUCUUAGUCCAUACCUUUCUUUCUUCUAUCUCAUAUUCAAUACAUCUCUCUCUCUACAUUCAUAUUCACUCAACGUAAAUCAUAGUCCUAUCUUCGUCCUUGCCAAUCUUUUUUCUAUCUCAUCUUCAAUACAUCAAUUUUGCUCUCUCUCUGCAAAAGACUAUCUCUUGAGAGAGAAACAGCAAAAAGCUCUUCCAUCUUCGUCUCUCUCUAUCUACAUUCAUAUGCACUCAAAUUUUUGAAUGGGACAAUCACAUUCAUCUCUCUCUCCCCUCAAGGUUACAUAAAUCAUCUUCCUAUCUUCGUCUUUACCAAUCUUUUUUCUAUCUCAUCUUCAAUUCAUCAAAUUCUCUCUCUUUCUCUCCCUCCACAAUCAUAUCUCUCCCUCCACAAUCAUAGUUACUCACCUCAGUGCAUCUUCAAAUCUUUGAAUGGGCCAUAAGAGACGAAACAAUCAAAGGCUGCUCAAGUGGGUAACAACAAGAAAGUUCCGUUGGUUAAAAAUAAGAGUCAGCAGGGGAUUAAGAUGGCUGGGGAGGAGCGGGGAAGGAGAUUUAGGAGCGGAUGGGAGUGGAAAGAAUUUUGCAGCAAAAUUCAGAUUCUGUGCAAUCACAAAAAGAUGAAGAGAAGGCGUCUCUGUUGAGUAAACUUGAAAAGCUGAGGAAGAAUGCCAAUGUGAAGGAUAUUAAGUCCUGGGCAAGCAGGAGAGAACAACUUCAAUCAUAUUUUAAAUGGAUGAGUGAUGACAAAAAGCGUGGACUGCUUAAAACACGAAUUUGCGAUUUCAGGGUCCAUUUGAGUUCUUUUAAGGACCGAUUGGCAGGGGAGGUUAUGUCAGAAGCUGUAAGUUUUGUUGAGAAGACCAAUACUUGGAGGUUCUGGGCUUGUUGGUGCAGUGAUGAGAAGUUUGUAGAUUCAGCAUCAUAUCUGCAUCAUCUUAAACAGGAGCACAUAGGGUACCUCUCACUCGAGUUGCAAUCAAUUGUGCCUACGGAAGUUGAUGCUAGUUGGGUUGAGAUGCUAGAAAAUGGCCCGUGGAAGCCUGUGGUCACCUCUGCAGCUGUGCCGAGACUUAUUGAAUGUCAGUCAAAGUGCAACAUGGAAAAUCUUGUUGGCAAGGACUCUUCAGAGUGUACAGGUUUAGUAACAGCUUCUACUAAACCUGUUACUCUUCCUUCAUGGCCAAUAUCUGAUGAUUCUGAGUGUGCAGAGAUUCUUCAAAAUAUCCGUGACAUGUUCCAGUUGCUUUUAAUGCAGAAUUGUGUUGCUGAGAGCCAUAUUAAAUACUCAAUGCAAAUUACCAUGGUAGAAAUUCAAAAAAUUGAGCCAGAAUUGCAGCUUCCAAUCCAUAGCCUGUGUCAAUCACCCCUCGGCUUCUGUUUUUUGGGAGUUAGCCAGCUAGAGUGGGUCCUUAAUUUCUUGCGGCGAUUUCAAGAUGAUAUUUAUGGUUUAUUUGGGGAUUAUGGGACAGGAAGUUCCACAGAUGAUGCACUUGAUGGCAAUCAAGUUUAUGAAAUCAAUGAGAGAAUUGUUCUUUGUGGUGACUCAUUCCGUCUUCCUCAAGAUUAGCGUUUACUGGGAGUAGAUCUUAUGCCUGUUGGUCCUCAUCAAGCUACUGUGCUGCCAGAUAAUGAUUCAUUUGUGUAUUGGUUGUAUGCUGAUCUUCUGAAUGAAGAAGAAUGGUUAGCAUCUUGGGCACAUCUAAAUAACCAAAAAAAACAUCAAGGAAGGGAACUCUUUCAGGUACUUUUGCAGAAAUCUCAAUUCUUACAAAGCUCGUGUGAGAAAAAAUUUGAGGCUAUGCAGCAAUUGGAGUUUCUGUCUGGGAAGGGAUUCCUGAAUCCUGAAAUUCGAAACUGCAUUUCCCUGCUUAAUUGUAUUGAUGCAUGGAUCACGCGGACCAUUGCUGAUAUGAAGCAGCUGGAAAUUAAACUUGCCCGAGUAUCUGCGCAUGACUAUCAGUCCACCAUGUUACUCCUUUUGAAGGCAUUCAUGCGGGCACAAUUGGACUCUCUUGUUGACAAAGAUGCAACUGAUAAAUCAAAGGCUGCAGAGGCAGCACUUAUAGCAGUGGAUGCACUUGAUGCUAAGAAGAACAUUAAUAAAGGGGGAAAUCAAACAAAACACCCGCAGGAAAAGUCGAAGAAUAGAAAAAAGAAAAAAGAUUACAGAAAAUCAGAAGGAGGGAGAGGUUACUGAUGGUAACAAACAACACGUUCCACAUGAGGAGGAUGCACAACAACUUGAUAUUUCUGAAAAUGCCGAUGUAUUAAAACAAUCUGAGGAACUUGGGCAUAAAAGUGAGCUAGAAGCAGAACAGGUAAUACUGGUUGGAGGUCAUUUAGAGAAUCAAAGACGAAUUGAAAAUGAGUUUAAACAAAAGCAGCUUGCCAAGCAAGAUGAGAAUACAGGUUCACCUAGUGAAAGAGCUCUUGAAGAUGGUGUUUUGCUAUCUGAUCUGCAAGGUAAGUGGCCAAACAGACUCGUGUAUCUUCUUCAAGAAUGUUGCUUUGCAUUAAGUACUUUAUAUGGCUCUCAGCAACACAAUUUUGCAUUAAAAGCAACUGGAACAUGUCACGGAUAUUUUGAAGGAUCUCUGCACGCUCAGAAUCAUCAGAUAUUGGCCAUGAAGGAAGAGUAACAGGUUUAGUAGAAGCUGUUACUAAACCUGUACACUCUGAAGAGUCCUUGCCAACAAGAUUUUCUAUGUUGCACUUUGACUGACAUUCAAUAAGUCUCGGCACAACUGCAGAGGUGUCCACAGGCUUCUAAGGGCCAUUUUCUAGCAUCUCAACCCAACGAGCAUUAACUUCCGCAGGCACAACUGAUUGCAACUCGAGUGAGAAGUUCCCUAUGUGCUCCUUUUUAAGAUGAUGAAGAUAUGAUGCUGAAUCUACAAACUUCUCAUCACUGCACCAACAAGCCCAGAACCUCCAAGUAUUGGUCUUCUCAACAAAACUUACAGCUUCUGACAGAACCUCCUUUGCCAAUCGAUCCUUAAAAGAACUCAAAUGGACCCUGAGAUCGCAAAUUCGUGUUUCAAGCAGUCCACGCUUUUUGUCAUCGCUCAUCGAUUUAAAAUAUGAUUGAAGUUGUUCUCUCCUGCUUGCCCAGGACUUAAUAUCCUUCACCUUGGCAUUCUUCCUCCGCUUUUCAAGUUUACUCAACAGAGACGCA